GGCUAACGCUGGCGGCGUGUCUUAGCCAUGCAAGUCGAGCGGACUUAUGGGGUAACUUAUAAGUCAGCGGCGGACGGCGGAGUAACACGUAGCUAACCUACCCUCUGGACGGGGAUAACCUACCGAAAGGUGGGCUAAUACCCGAUGUAGUCAUCCUGUAUAGGGGUGAUGAAAGGUGGGCUUCUGUUUACAAGCUCAUGCUGGAGGAGGGGGCUGCGGCCUAUCAGGUAGUUGGUAGGGUAAUAGCCUACCAAGCCGAUGACGGGUAGCCGGCCUGAGAGGGUGACCGGCCCGAGGGGCACUGAGAUACGGGUCCCACUCCUACGGGAGGCAGCAGGCUAGAAAUUUGGGCAAUGGGGGAAACCCUGACCCAGUGACGCCGCGUGCAGGAAGGAGCCCUUCGGGGUGUAAACUGCUGUCGUGUAGGGAGAAGGGUACUAAGGUGAACAAUCUUAGUACUUGACGGUACUACAGGAGGAAGCCCAGGCUAACCUCGUGCCAGCAGCCGCGGUAUGCUACGUAGA
rnacentral:rRNA from 1 species